GAUGAACGCUGGCGGCGUGCCUAAUACAUGCAAGUCGAGCGAACAGACGAGGAGCUUGCUCCUCUGACGUUAGCGGCGGACGGGUGAGUAACACGUGGAUAACCUACCUAUAAGACUGGGAUAACUUCGGGAAACCGGAGCUAAUACCGGAUAAUAAAUUGAACCGCAUGGUUCAAUAGUGAAAGACGGUUUUGCUGUCACUUAUAGAUGGAUCCGCGCCGCAUUAGCUAGUUGGUAAGGUAACGGCUUACCAAGGCAACGAUGCGUAGCCGACCUGAGAGGGUGAUCGGCCACACUGGAACUGAGACACGGUCCAGACUCCUACGGGAGGCAGCAGUAGGGAAUCUUCCGCAAUGGGCGAAAGCCUGACGGAGCAACGCCGCGUGAGUGAUGAAGGUCUUCGGAUCGUAAAACUCUGUUAUUAGGGAAGAACAAAUGUGUAAGUAACUAUGCACGUCUUGACGGUACCUACUCAGAAAGCCACGGCUAACUACGUG
rnacentral:rRNA from 1 species